AUUGAACGCUGGCGGCAGGCUUAACACAUGCAAGUCGAGCGGGGGAAGGUAGCUUGCUACCGGACCUAGCGGCGGACGGGUGAGUAAUGCUUAGGAAUCUGCCUAUUAGUGGGGGACAACAUCUCGAAAGGGAUGCUAAUACCGCAUACGUCCUACGGGAGAAAGCAGGGGAUCUUCGGACCUUGCGCUAAUAGAUGAGCCUAAGUCGGAUUAGCUAGUUGGUGGGGUAAAGGCCUACCAAGGCGACGAUCUGUAGCGGGUCUGAGAGGAUGAUCCGCCACACUGGGACUGAGACACGGCCCAGACUCCUACGGGAGGCAGCAGUGGGGAAUAUUGGACAAUGGGGGGAACCCUGAUCCAGCCAUGCCGCGUGUGUGAAGAAGGCCUUAUGGUUGUAAAGCACUUUAAGCGAGGAGGAAGCUACUUUAGUUAAUACCUAGAGAUAGUGGACGUUACUCGCAGAAUAAGCACCGGCUAACUCUGUG
rnacentral:rRNA from 1 species